UCGGCGCGGCGGCGGCGGCCGCCUGUGAAAGUGCCGAGCCGGUGCGCUAGGGGCAGGGGGAAGAUGAGAGAGAAAACUAAAGUGAUGGUUGGUGGCUACCUGCCUCGAAGACUUCUGCCAAUUCUGCUUUCUGCUUCCAGGGAGAAAAAACGGA